rnacentral:rRNA from 1 species
GAUGAACGCUGGCGGCGUGCCUAAUACAUGCAAGUCGAGCGAACAGACGAGGAGCUUGCUCCUCUGAUGUUAGCGGCGGACGGGUGAGUAACACGUGGAUAACCUACCUAUAAGACUGGGAUAACUUCGGGAAACCGGAGCUAAUACCGGAUAACAUGUUGAACCGCAUGGUUCAACAGUGAAAGACGGUCUUGCUGUCACUUAUAGAUGGAUCCGCGCCGAAUUAGCUAGUUGGUAAGGUAACGGCUUACCAAGGCAACGAUGCGUAGCCGACCUGAGAGGGUGAUCGGCCACACUGGAACUGAGACACGGCCCAGACUCCUACGGGAGGCAGCAGUAGGGAAUCUUCCGCAAUGGGCGAAAGCCUGACGGAGCAACGCCGCGUGAGUGAAGAAGGUCUUCGGAUCGUAAAACUCUGUUAUUAGGGAAGAACAAAUGUGUAAGUAACUAUGCACGUCUUGACGGUACCUAAUCAGAAAGCCACGGCUAACUACGUG